rnacentral:rRNA from 1 species
CAGCAUGCCGCGUGGAGUGAAGAAGGCCUUCGGGUUGUAAAGCUCUUUUGUCAGGGAAGAAACAGCAGCUCUAACACAGUUUGCGAAUGACGGUACCUGAAGAAUAAGCACCGGCUAACUACGUGCCAGCAGCCGCGGUAAUACGUAGGGUGCAAGCGUUAAUCGGAAUUACUGGGCGUAAAGCGUGCGCAGGCGGUUAUAUAAGACAGGCGUGAAAUCCCCGGGCUUAACCUGGGAAUUGCGCUUGUGACUGCAUAGCUAGAGUAUGUCAGAGGGGGGUAGAAUUCCACGUGUAGCAGUGAAAUGCGUAGAGAUGUGGAGGAAUACCAAUGGCGAAGGCAGCCCCCUGGGAUAAUACUGACGCUCAUGCACGAAAGCGUGGGGAGCAAACAGGAUUAGAUACCCUGGUAGUCCACGCCCUAAACGAUGCUGACUAGUUGUUCGGGAAUUUAUUCCUGAGUAACGUAGCUAACGCGUGAAGUCAGCCGCCUGGGGAGUACGGUCGCAAGAUUAAAAC